CUACGGGUCGCUCCAGUAGGGAAUCUUCCACAAUGGGCGAAAGCCUGAUGGAGCAACGCCGCGUGAGUGAAGAAGGUUUUCGGAUCGUAAAACUCUGUUGUAAGGGAAGAACAAGUACAGUAGUAACUGGCUGUACCUUGACGGUACCUUAUUAGAAAGCCACGGCUAACUACGUGCCAGCAGCCGCGGUAAUACGUAGGUGGCAAGCGUUGUCCGGAAUUAUUGGGCGUAAAGCGCGCGCAGGCGGUCCUUUAAGUCUGAUGUGAAAGCCCACGGCUCAACCGUGGAGGGUCAUUGGAAACUGGGGGACUUGAGUGCAGAAGAGGAAAGUGGAAUUCCAAGUGUAGCGGUGAAAUGCGUAGAGAUUUGGAGGAACACCAGUGGCGAAGGCGACCUUCUGGUCUGUAACUGACGCUGAGGCGCGAAAGCGUGGGGAGCAAACAGGAUUAGAUACCCCAGUAGUC
rnacentral:rRNA from 1 species